CUACGGGGUGCACCAGUGAGGAAUAUUGCACAAUGGGGGGAACCCUGAUGCAGCAACGCCGCGUGGAGGAUGACGCAUUCCGGUGUGUAAACUCCUUUUAUAUGUCAAGAAAAUGACGGUAGCAUAUGAAUAAGCACCGGCUAACUCCGUGCCAGCAGCCGCGGUAAUACAGAGGGUGCAAGCGUUACUCGGAAUCACUGGGCGUAAAGGACGCGUAGGCGGGUUGGAAAGUCAGGUGUGAAAUCCUACAGCUUAACUGUAGAACUGCACUUGAAACUUCUAAUCUAGAGUAUGGGAGGGGGAGAUGGAAUUAGUGGUGUAGGGGUAAAAUCCGUAGAUAUCACUAGGAAUACCUAAAGCGAAGGCGAUCUCCUGGAACAUUACUGACGCUAAGGCGUGAAAGCGUGGGGAGCAAACAGGAUUAGAUACCCCUGUAGUC
rnacentral:rRNA from 1 species